rnacentral:rRNA from 1 species
ACGAACGCUGGCGGCGUGCUUAACACAUGCAAGUCGCACGGAAAGGCCCUGCUUGCAGGGUACUCGAGUGGCGAACGGGUGAGUAACACGUGGGUGAUCUGCCCUGCACUUCGGGAUAAGCUUGGGAAACUGGGUCUAAUACCGGAUAGGAGCCAUCUUUAGUGUGGUGGUUGGAAAGUUUUUUCGGUGUAGGAUGAGCUCGCGGCCUAUCAGCUUGUUGGUGGGGUAAUGGCCUACCAAGGCGGCGACGGGUAGCCGGCCUGAGAGGGUGUACGGCCACAUUGGGACUGAGAUACGGCCCAGACUCCUACGGGAGGCAGCAGUGGGGAAUAUUGCACAAUGGGCGCAAGCCUGAUGCAGCGACGCCGCGUGGGGGAUGAAGGCCUUCGGGUUGUAAACUCCUUUCGCUAGGGACGAAGCUUUUUUGUGACGGUACCUAGAUAAGAAGCACCGGCUAACUACGUG